GAAAAAGUACUGCAAGAACUGCUAAUUCAUGCUCUCCACACUUAACAAUGUGGCUUUUUCG
rnacentral:tRNA from 1 species